GAGAAAUAAACUCUGAGCUUUGAUUGGAAUAUUUGCAGAAUGCAGGCCAGGCUCUGAAAGGAAGAACGCCAGGAAACUCUGCAGUUCACUCACCCUGGGAAAUCCCAGCUGCAGGUGUGAAGCAGCCCCGUGAAAAGACCACGUGGCAAGAGACCAAGCCCUGCCAACAACCACGUGCUUCUUGCCGGUAUUCUCCCUGAGCCACACAGGAGUCUGGACAUCGGAUAUGCAGCGACCUUCUUGAAACCAUCUCGAUUCUGUGAGAGUUAAUGGCAGCAGAUCAGAGCCCUGGAGAAACCGUGGAGUCGGGCAAGGUGGCCUUUGCUUCCUGUUCCUCUGCCCUUUCGAGUCCUCAGGAACGUCCCAUCUGCCUUUUCAGCCCUCUUCAUCGUGGAUCUCCUCCACUUAUCAAAACAAGAAAAGAGCUGCUAUCAUUUAUUUAUGAUUAGAUGGAAAAUCCGGACGGGGCGCCAAGCCUAGGACUCUCUAUCCAGGAAUAACGAUGGUGGAUUUUUCUGCAGCCUCAACAAUUUGCAUCCUUGGGGACCUUGAGUUUGGCCGACCUUGUUGCAGGUCAGAGACCCGAUACACCAUCACACAAGGAAGGAGAAGCCUUGAGGCCAACGCUGGCCCCGCCUGCUUCAGUGGGAUGUAGAGGCAGACAGGGUUGGGGUUCCAGCAGAGCAAACACUGUCACACUAGAAGGGUCCUUUCAAGAAUGACAGAAGGCCCUCAAACCCCAGGAAGGAGAGAAGACUCUAAGCAGGUCCCUUGUUUUCCCGAGGCUUAGCAGCACAUAGCUGACAGCCACAGGAAUGCUUCAGAACCUUCUAGACUCCUUGUAUUGAGCUAAAACUGAGGUGAAAAUUCUCACAGGCUGUUGUUUUGUUUUUAACAUUUUAGGCUAUUUAUCUCAUAUAUAGUGGAGUAGAAGGCCCUGGCCUCUUUAAAAAGAUAUUUGAAACAUCAAAUUAGACUGCUCAUCUCCUGGGCAGUGGGGUGGGUUGGGGGUGCUGCUCAGAGCCUGGUCCCUGAGCACUCCUGCACAUCCUCUGGACCAAGCCCCUGUCUGGGUUCCCCCAUCCACUCUGAGGCAAAGGCACCAUAGUCCGGGAGCCCAUCAUUCCUGCUCCUUUGGACUCUCAGCCAAAGCCAAAAGCAGGAAGUGGAAAGCCAGAAGCAGGAAGCAGGAAGUGGGAAGCAGGAAGCAGAGGCAGGAAGUGGGAAGUGGAGAACAGGAAGCAGCUGCUUCAGGAGUCCUUACUUUGGGGCCUGGGGCCUGGAGGGUGAGGGCCCAGGGAACUUCUGCCUGGCCAUGGCCCUUGAGAUUAGGGAUACAGAGAAUCCUGCCCUUGGAGUUUAACUGUAGAGAAUAUUUGGGAAAGUUGUUGAUCAGGAUGUUGAUUUCAGCUACUAGAAAAAUAACAGUGGGAGAAAAGAAAAAAUAUUGGGGAGCUAUUGUAGAAAUAAUGCUAAUAAUGGCUAUUUGAAUGAAACAUUGGAAUAGAUGAACACUUAUGCACAUGAAAAAAAAAACUCUACUUCACUUUGAGACUCAUUUUCUUCCAUUAUAGAGGUUAAAUAUGGCUCAAACGUGUCCCAGCUUUCUGGUGUGUUGCUUGGGUAGUAUGGUCUAAAAAACAGCUGGACAGACAUUAGCCUGUAAUAAACAUGUAGUGGGCACCCCACUGUGGACAUUUAUCAAAUAUACUACUUGUAUGCCUUCCUAUCCAUAGUUGAUGUG